UACGUAGGUGGCAAGCGUUAUUCGGAUUCACUGGGCGUAAAGGGUGCGCAGGCGGCCGAGUGUGUGAGGCGUGAAAGCCCGGGGCUUAACCCCCGGAAUUGCACCUCAAACUACACGGCUAGAGCAUUGGAGAGGGUAGCAGAAUUCAUGGUGUAGCAGUGAAAUGCGUAGAUAUCAUGAGGAAUACCAGAGGCGAAGGCGGCUACCUGGACAAUUGCUGACGCUCAGGCACGAAAGCGUGGGGAGCAAAAGGG
rnacentral:rRNA from 1 species